AAAAAAAAAAAAAAAAAAGCCAAACGUUUUCAAUUUUUCGCAAUUAUAUCCCAUAAUUGAAAUUAGAAGUGCUUACUUGGCAGCUGACUAGGAUGAAAAAAUGAUUUUUUAAAUUAUGGGACCCUUAAAAUAAAAAUAUAUUCUAAUUGCAAUUAUGUGAGCCCCACAAUUUAAAAAAAAAUGUUUUUUUCCUACUCAGCUGCCAUGUAAGCACCUCCAACUUCAAUUUUGACAAUGGCAGAAAUAUACAUCUGACCUUUAAAGUUGGGGUAAAUUUACUAAAAUUAAAAGGAUAGGACGUAAUUGUAAAACUAAAAAAGGUUUGGUUUUUUUCCACCAUUAGGCCAUAUCAAUAUUGAGAUUAUUUUUGCCUCUCAAAAAAAAAAUAUUGAGAUUAUUUUUCCUCACAAAAAAAAAAAAGUGAAAUAAUUUUUUAACUGUGAUUUCUUUGAUCAAAAUGAUACUUUUCUUUCUUUAUUUCUUUCUUCCAUUUCUGAAAGGGAACUGGUUAGAUCCCAGUCUGCAUAUGAUAAUUUGAAAUGAUCCAAGUUAACAGUUCAUAAAUUUUUUCUGAUUACAUAAUUUGAAAUUAUCUGAUUUAGCAGUUCAUAAAUUUUUUU
rnacentral:misc_RNA from 1 species